GAUAAGCUUGANCCUNCGGGAGGCAGCAGUAAGGAAUAUUGGGCAAUGGAGGCAACUCUGACCCAGCCAUGCCGCGUGCAGGAAGACUGCCCUAUGGGUUGUAAACUGCUUUUUCAGGGGACUAACCGUGGUUACGUGUAACCACCUGCAUGUACCCUGCGAAUAAGCAUCGGCUAACUCCGUGCCAGCAGCCGCGGUAAUA
rnacentral:rRNA from 1 species